UGCUAUGCCAAAUUUCAAAGGAUCAUCA
rnacentral:piRNA from 1 species